AAUCAACGCUGGCGGCGUGCCUCAGACAUGCAAGUCGAACGAUUAAACUUCCCUUCGGGGAAGAUAUAAAGUGGCGCACGGGUGAGUAACACGUAGGUAAUGUACCUUUGGGUGGGGAAUAACUUAGGGAAACUUAAGCUAAUACCGCAUAAUGCAGCGGCUCCUUCGGGAGACAGUUGUUAAAGAUUUAUCGCCUAAAGAGCAGCCUGCGGCAGAUUAGCUAGUUGGUAAGGUAACGGCUUACCAAGGCUACGAUCUGUAUCCGACCUGAGAGGGUGGUCGGACACACUGACACUGAAUAACGGGUCAGACUCCUACGGGAAGCAGCAGUCGGGAAUUUUGGGCAAUGGGCGAAAGCCUGACCCAGCAACGCCGCGUGAAGGAUGAAGUCUUUCGGGAUGUAAACUUCGUAAGAAUAGGAAGAAUAAGUGACGGUACUAUUUGUAAGGUCCGGCUAACUACGUG
rnacentral:rRNA from 1 species